GAAGAAACACCGAUGCGAAGCAGCCUCCUGGGAUAACACUGACGCUCAUGCACGAAAGCGUGGGGAGCAAACAGGAUUAGAUACCCUUGGUAGUCCACGCCCUAAACGAUGUCAACUAGCUGUUGGGGCCUUUCGGGCCUUAGUAGCGCAGCUAACGCGUGAAGUUGACCGCCUGGGGAGUACGGUCGCAAGAUUAAAACUCAAAGGAAUUGACGGGGACCCGCACAAGCGGUGGAUGAUGUGGAUUAAUUCGAUGCAAACGCGAAAAACCUUACCUACCCUUGACAUGUCUGGAAUUCCGAAGAGAUUUGGAAGUGCUCGCAAGAGAACCGGAACACAGGUGCUGCAUGGCUGUCGUCAGCUCGUGUCGUGAGAUGUUGGGUUAAGUCCCGCAACGAGCGCAACCCUUGUCAUUAGUUGCUACGAAAGGGCACUCUAAUGAGACUGCCGGUGACAAACCGGAGGAAGGUGGGGAUGACGUCAAGUCCUCAUGGCCCUUAUGGGUAGGGCUUCACACGUCAUACAAUGGUCGGGACAGAGGGUCGCCAACCCGCGAGGGGGAGCCAAUCCCAGAAACCCGAUCGUAGUCCGGAUCGCAGUCUGCAACUCGACUGCGUGAAGUCGGAAUCGCUAGUAAUCGCGGAUCAGCAUGUCGCGGUGAAUACGUUCCCGGGUCUUGUACACACCGCCCGUCACACCAUGGGAGUGGGUUUUACCAGAAGUAGUUAGCCUAACCGCAAGGGGGGCGAUAAACCGGAGAUUAAUG
rnacentral:rRNA from 1 species